CAGCAGCCGCGGUAAUACGGAGGGCGCGAGCGUUACCCGGAUUUACUGGGCGUAAAGGGCGUGUAGGCGGCCUGGGGCGUCCCAUGUGAAAGGCCACGGCUCAACCGUGGAGGAGCGUGGGAUACGCUCAGGCUAGAGGGUGGGAGAGGGUGGUGGAAUUCCCGGAGUAGCGGUGAAAUGCGCAGAUACCGGGAGGAACGCCGAUGGCGAAGGCAGCCACCUGGUCCACUUCUGACGCUGAGGCGCGAAAGCGUGGGGAGCAAACAGGAUUAGAUACCCCAGUAGUCCCUGUCUCUUAUAC
rnacentral:rRNA from 1 species